AACGCACCUUGCGCCCCUUGGUAUUCCGAGGGGCAUGCCUGUUUGAGUGUCAUUAAAUUCUCAACCUUUACUAGCUUUUUGUGAGCUAUGUAAUGGCUUGGAUGUGGGGGUUUUUUGCUGGCCUCGAAAGAAAUCAGCUCCCCUGAAAUAUAUUAGCUGGUGCCCCGCGUGGACCGUCUACUGGUGUGAUAAUUAUCUACGCCGUGGACUAUUCGCCGUUUUUAGCACUGCUUAUAAUCGUCUGUUCAUUCGGACAAUAUAUGACAAUUUGACCUCAAAUCAGGUAGGACUACCCGCUGAACUUAA
rnacentral:rRNA from 1 species